UGAAAUGAUGAUAGGUUUUGUCGCCCCAGUCUUAAUUUGCACCUCGAGGUGUAACAUGGUGACUGACAUGUUUAUCUGAUCU